CUAAAAUCUAUUUUAAAAUCAUAUAACCAAUAAUAAUUAAUUUGAAAUUGGAUUUUAAAAUGACAGAACCGGUAACACUAGGUUUGAAUUAGAUUUUCAAAUCCAUUAAAAUAUACAAACCAAUAACACCCUUAAAUUAUUUUGAUAUAAAAUUAAGAAAAUAAACUCCAUAAACAAUUUGAGAAAAUUUUCUUAUGAUCUUUAAUUAGUAUAAGCGAAUGUAUGAAUUCUCUAAAAUCUAAAUUUCUAACUGUGAUUAUCUUAUCUCUUAAAUGAAAUGAUAUUAUAUAGGGCAAAUCUCCAAAAUAGCAUUUUUCUAAGUUUAUAUCACAAAAAUAGCACUCAAAAACUAAAAUGACCAAAAUAGCAUUUUAUCUUUUGAAAAAUUUAAAUUUUUUUAUUUUUCAAAAUUUUAAAUCUUAUCCCCAAAACCUCACUUCUCAACUCUAAACCCUAAAACCUAAACUCUAAACCCUAAACCCUAAACUCUAAACCCUAAACCCCACCCCUUGAGUGCUAUUUUUGUGACUUUUGG
rnacentral:lncRNA from 1 species